rnacentral:rRNA from 1 species
AAACUGGGAGAUAGCUCGUACUCCCCGAAAUGCAUUUAGGUGCAGCGUCGGCGUAGAGUAGUGAUGGAGGUAGAGCUACCGAUAGGGCUAGGGGCGUCACUGCCUACCAACCCCUGACGAACUCCGAAUGCCAUUACACUGCACCGGCAGUGAGGCUAUGGGUGCUAAGGUCCAUAGCCGAGAGGGAAAGAACCCAGACCAACAGCUAAGGUCCCCAAAUACUAUCUAAGUUGAACAAACGAUGUGAGAAUGCACAGACAGCUAGGAUGUUGGCUUGGAAGCAGCCAUUCAUUUAAAGAGUGCGUAACAGCUCACUAGUCGAGCGUUCUUGCGCGGAAAAAUGAUCGGGCAUCAAGAUAGUUACCGAAGCUAUGGUCACGUGUUAAAGCGUGAGGUAGGGG